AACGAACGCUGGCGGCAUGCCUAACACAUGCAAGUCGAACGAGACCUUCGGGUCUAGUGGCGCACGGGUGCGUAACGCGUGGGAACCUGCCCUUAGGUUCGGAAUAACUCCCCGAAAGGGGUGCUAAUACCGGAUAAUGUCUUCGGACCAAAGAUUUAUCGCCUUUGGUUGGGCCCGCGUUGGAUUAGCUAGUUGGUAGGGUAAAAGCCUACCAAGGCGACGAUCCAUAGCUGGUCUGAGAGGAUGAUCAGCCACACUGGGACUGAGACACGGCCCAGACUCCUACGGGAGGCAGCAGUGGGGAAUAUUGGACAAUGGGCGAAAGCCUGAUCCAGCAAUGCCGCGUGAGUGAUGAAGGCCUUAGGGUUGUAAAGCUCUUUUACCCGGGAUGAUAAUGACAGUACCGGGAGAAUAAGCUCCGGCUAACUCCGU
rnacentral:rRNA from 1 species